AUUGAACGCUUGCGGCAUGCUUAACACAUGCAAGUCGAACGCGUUGCGUCCGGGUGAGUAAUGUCUGGGACACUGCCUGCUCGAGGGGGAUCACUACUUGAAACUGUAGCUACUACCGCAUACCCUCUGCUGGGCCCAUAUCGGAUUAGUUAGUCGGUGGGGUAAAGGCUCACCAAGCCGACGAUCCCUAGCUGGUCUGAGAGGAUGACCAGCAAAACUGGAACUGAGACACGGUCCAGACUCCUACGGGAGGCAGCAGUGGGGAAUAUUGCACAAUGGGCGAAAGCCUGAUGCAGCCAUGCCGCGUGUAUGAAGAAGGCCUUAGGGUUGUAAAGUACUUUCAGUGGGGAGGCGUUACUCGCAGAAGAAGCACCGGCUAACUCCGUGCCAGCAGCCGCGGUAAUUC
rnacentral:rRNA from 1 species